UCGCACCAAGUAACACGCCCGCGGUGCACUGUGUCGUUGCGUGCCCCGAGGCGUCGGUGACACCAAACAUCUCAAGCGGAGGGAGGGCUCACUGCCACCACCGCACAUUCUGCGUACUCUCUCACACGCGUGAGAGCUAAGGAGGGGAGGGCGUGCGUGCCUGGCUGUCCGUGUGUUCUAUCUGUGCCGCACCACUGGCGUUGCUCACUGUGCUCAUCUCCGCGUGUAUCUGUGCUGCCGCAUUACGAGGAGCGCGCGGCACAGCGGCGAAGAAGGAUAACGAACAAGGACAGCGAAGAAGAGGCGGGGCACAGCCAAGUAUGGGUGACGUGUUCCGGCAGUUUGCGUCUUUACUUGCCGAACCUACUGCCUCUCUCUCUCUCAACCCUGACUCAUCCCACAGCCAUCAAGUGGGACCGCAUUCUGCCUCGGCUACUCGACACACGUGUAGGCUCGGACCCGCCUGCUGGACUUUGUCUUGCCAGCGCGCACGCAAACGCCCUGGCUUUCUCACGGACUCUCCUCCCUUGCCUUCCCUGCCUCCACAGUGGUCAUGCCUCGAUCUCAUGUGGACGAGGCGCAGCGCCGCCAGGCGUUGGCAGAGCGGCGGUUCCGUGGGCACCGCAUCCGCCGUGGGCUCGAAGAGCUUGGCGACCUCGAUGCUCCCAAGAAGCGCAAAGACGACGUGCCGCCCGCAGAGCGGGUUACCACAGCAACCACUCUUAGCGACUGCACCACGGACAUCACCACCGCCGCGGCUCGAACCACUCCUGCCAUCUUCUCCACCGUUUUUGGCGCGGACUGGGGUGAGUGGGCGGAGGUGAAGCGCGUGCUGUUUGACAUGAACGCCACAGCGGCUGCGAAGCGGAGUGCGUUGGAGACCAUCCAUGUGUGGCGCCAGCGUGCACGCAAGGAGCGCGAGUUGCCGGCCUACGUGGAGUCGACGGAGAUGCUGUUGGAUGCGAUGCUGCAAGACGAGGAGGAAGUGCUGAAAGAUGGACCACUGCGCAUGUGCUACGGCGCCGCCAUUUCGCGCGUAGUGCACGUCAUGACCGGCUCCUUUGCGAGCGGCGCCGCCGACACGUAUCGCAAGCGCGCGAGCGAGAUCGGCUUCCCUGAGGAGGCGGUGGAGGUUCGUCAGCGUGUGGCACACGGAGCACUGCCGCUGGCGUCGGAGUUGCGGUGGGUCUGCGGCUUGGUGCUGCAGUUCUUGUUCACGCAGUACUGGCUGGAGCAGGAGCGGCAGGUGCACCUCAUGCAACAGGAACGGGGCUCCUCCUCGCCCGCAGCCGGCGCGCACCGUAAACCACGACAGCGACAGCCGGCGAGAGCGAGCACAGCCACACCAGCGGUGGAGCCAAGUGUGCCUGCAGCUUCUCUACCACCGCCGUCUGUCACCAUAGACGACAUGAAGGCACUCCUGCACGACCUCGAAAGUGAUGCGGACGGCGACGGCGAAAACGCCAAGGGUGGCGGUGCGACAGAUAAGAGCGACAAGGUUGCACUCGUCACACUAUCUCCUGCCGGUCGCGCCCCGACGGCUGAAGGCGCAGCCAGGCGAGAUACGUCUUCUGGUGCUUCCAUUGCCACCAUAGCAGGCUGGCGUCUGUCGUGACGGCUCGGGGUGGGCGAAGGACGAGAAGUGUGAGGGCUGCUGGAGGGAAGCGACGCGCUGCGUGGGGUCUCUGUUUAUGCCUGGUGGUGGUGGGAGUGCAAGGAACUCCUGCUGCGGUCUAUCGAGCACCUGCACUCGCACAUUCGCACUCGCACAUUCGCAUUCGCACGCGUUAAUGCGGCGUGCGCGAUCGGAGUGCGUAAGGGAGGGCGAUGGGGAGCGACGUACACAUACACACACACACACACACAGACGCAGUAUUAAGCAGACGGGGGCAAGCCGCUAGGCGCCUGGAAGUCGUUGAUGCGAUUCCCAUGCUCCCUACCACGAGCCUGCGCGCGUCGUGCUCUACACCGCCCACCUGCUCUUCCAUCUGUUCAUUAACACAAGCUAAAGCAUGAAAGGGCUGCGCUAUUCUUCUGUUGAUUUUCCGUGAGCGGCGACCGGCGCAGAGAGAGAGAGCGGGAGGGAGUUGGAGCAAGGAUGCGCAUGUGCGUCAGUGAGGAUCCAUGUGCUCGAUCUCACACCCCUACGCUUGCUUCUCACCGCUACCACUGCGCAUCACGUGCUUUCCGCUUCGCAGCUGAUACGCGCGCGCGUGCAUGCAUCGGCAAUCUGCAGGGUCGCCGUCGGCACUUUCAUGUGCCGAAUAGCUAGGCGUGCAUCCGUGCUUCUCUGCCUCUUCUUGCUGCGGGUCACUGCCGCUCAUCUCCAUCACGGCAGCGCUGGCGCCGUCUCUCCCGUUCCGUCCCAUCUUCUCCACUUUCCACAUGCUCUACAUGUACACUUAUCCGAGAGACGAACGUGUGUGCAG
rnacentral:misc_RNA from 1 species